GACGAACGCUGGCGGCGUGCUUAACACAUGCAAGUCGAACGCUGAAGACCUGGCUUUUGUUGGGUUGGAUGAGUGGCGAACGGGUGAGUAACACGUGAGUAACCUGCCCUCUUCUUUGGGAUAACGCCCGGAAACGGGUGCUAAUACUGGAUAUUCACUGAUCUUCGCAUGGGGGUUGGUGGAAAGGUUUGUUCUGGUGGGGGAUGGGCUCGCGGCCUAUCAGCUUGUUGGUGGGGUGAUGGCCUACCAAGGCUUUGACGGGUAGCCGGCCUGAGAGGGUGACCGGUCACAUUGGGACUGAGAUACGGCCCAGACUCCUACGGGAGGCAGCAGUGGGGAAUAUUGCACAAUGGGCGAAAGCCUGAUGCAGCGACGCCGCGUGAGGGAUGGAGGCCUUCGGGUUGUAAACCUCUUUUGCUCAUGGUCAAGCCGCAACUGUGGGUUGUGGUGAGGGUAGUGGGUAAAGAAGCGCCGGCUAACUACGUG
rnacentral:rRNA from 1 species